GAGACACCCUAGGGAGCAGGACUUGCUUCAGUGAGGCUUUGGUGCUCGCUGAGUCUGCCUCUUGAGUGUGUUGCU
rnacentral:pre_miRNA from 1 species